rnacentral:rRNA from 1 species
GUGUCAGCAGCCGCGGUAAUACGGAGGGUGCGAGCGUUAUCCGGAAUCACUGGGUUUAAAGGGUGCGUAGGCUGCCCGGUAAGUCAGUUGUGAAAUUCCCCCGCUCAACGGGAGGGACUGCGAUUGAUACUGCUGGGCUUGAAUGGGGUUGAGGCAGGCGGAAUGUGGCAUGUAGCGGUGAAAUGCAUAGAUAUGCCAUAGAACACCGAUUGCGAAGGCAGCCUGCUGGGCCUUUAUUGACGCUGAGGCACGAAAGCGUGGGGAGCAAACAGGAUUAGAUACCCUGGUAGUCCACGCCCUAAACGAUGUUUACUUGCUGUUCGGCCUACAUGGCGGAGUGGCGAAGCGAAAGCGAUAAGUAAACCACCUGGGGAGUACGCCGGCAACGGUGAA